rnacentral:rRNA from 1 species
UNAGGGCGAANCGUUAUCCGGAAUUAUUGGGCGUAAAGAGCUCGUAGGCGGUUUGUCGCGUCUGCCGUGAAAGUCCGGGGCUCAACCCCGGAUCUGCGGUGGGUACGGNCAGACUAGAGUGAUGUAGGGGAGACUGGAAUUCCUGGUGUAGCGGUGAAAUGCGCAGAUAUCAGGAGGAACACCGAUGGCGAAGGCAGGUCUCUGGGCAUUAACUGACGCUGAGGAGCGAAAGCAUGGGGAGCGAACAGGAUUAGAUACCCUGGUAGUCCAUGCCGNAAACGUUGGNCACUAGAUGUGGGGGUUGGGAACUAGAUGUGGGGGACAUUCCACGUUUUCCGCGUCGUAGCUAACGCAUUAAGUGCCCCGCCUGGGGAGUACGGCCGCAAGGCUAAAACUCAAAGGAAUUGACGGGGGCCCGCACAAGCGGCGGAGCAUGCGGAUUAAUUCGAUGCAACGCGAAGAACCUUACCAAGGCUUGACAUGGGCCGGAUCGCCGCAGAAAUGUGGUUUCCCCUUUGGGGCCGGUUCACAGGUGGUGCAUGGUUGUCGUCAGCUCGUGUCGUGAGAUGUUGGGUUAAGUCCCGCAACGAGCGCAACCCUCGUUCCAUGUUGCCAGCACGUAGUGGUGGGGACUCAUGGGAGACUGCCGGGGUCAACUCGGAGGAAGGUGGGGACGACGUCAAAUCAUCAUGCCCCUUAUGUCUUGGNCUUCACGCAUGCUACAAUGGNCGGUACAAUGGGUUGCGAUACUGUGAGGUGGAGCUAAUCCCAAAAAGCCGGUCUCAGUUCGGAUUGGGGUCUGCAACUCGACCCCAUGAAGUCGGAGUCGCUAGUAAUCGCAGAUCAGCAACGCUGUGGUGAAUACGUUCCCGGGNCUAGUACACANCGCC